AGGACGAACACUGGCGGCGUGCUUAACACAUGCAAGUCGAGCGGAAAGGCCCUUCGGGGUACUCGAGCGGCGAACGGGUGAGUAACACGUGAGCAACCUGCCCCUGGCUCUGGGAUAGCCUCCGGAAACGGGGAUUAAUACCGGACAUUCACUUCCUUCCGCAUGGUUGGUGGUGGAAAGUUUUUCGGCCGGGGAGGGGCUCGCGGCCUAUCAGCUUGUUGGCGGGGUAACGGCCCACCAAGGCGACGACGGGUAGCC
rnacentral:rRNA from 1 species